AAUUUACUUCAAGUUAUGCAAUGAUGAACAUCCUUUUUCUCUCCUGAGUCUCUGAUGCUGCUGUCUUCUUCUACUUCAAACACUGACUCCAAAGUCCUCCCAGAAUUAUCAGAAGAAACCAAAGGAAAGAGACAGAGAAAAAUUUGGUGAAUAAGAAUCAGACAUAGAGAGAGACAUCUACUGUGCUGCUUCAUCUCUACUGAAGCUUCUCCUUUGCAGCUGGGGACCAGAAGCUCAAACCUGGGUGCUUAAGCAUGGUAA